rnacentral:rRNA from 1 species
GUGUCAGCCGCCGCGGUAAUACGGAGGGUGCAAGCGUUGCUCGGAAUCACUGGGCGUAAAGGGCGUGUAGGCGGUUUCGUAUGUCUGGCGUGAAAGCCCCGGGCUCAACCCGGGAAGUGCGUUGGAAACUGCGAAACUAGAGUCUCGGAGAGGAAGGUGGAAUUCCAGGUGUAGCGGUGAAAUGCGUAGAUAUCUGGAAGAACACCGGUGGCGAAGGCGGCCUUCUGGACGAUGACUGACGCUGAGACGCGAAAGCGUGGGGAGCAAACAGGAUUAGAUACCCUCGUAGUCC